CUGAAGCUCAGAGUUAUGAAUUGUUGGCUGUUGUUUGCUGCAAUGAAAAUAAAUUGUUUUCAAUAUUGGCAUUUUGACCAGUUGUUUAUCAUUUUGCAAUUGCACUAGUCGAGCUGAUUUGCAUGUCAUUGAAACAAACUAGUUCAAUGUUCAUUAGAACAAUGCGAUAUUAGACCUUUUCUUGUAAUUCUUGUGGAUCCUUGGCCUUUCCGGCCUCAUGUUCGAUGGGUUUUUAUAUGAAAUGGAUACUAGAAGCUGUUAUGGAGUUUAUUUGAACGAAAUUACUGUUUUUCAAAUGGCAGGGUGGAAGAACAAUUAAUGGAGGGGCGGGAAUUUCAAGUAGCAGGACGUUUAUUUUUACUUGUUUUGCAAUUUUAAUCAAGUGAUUUUCUUUCAAAUGUUUUUUUGUUACGAAUUCACUUGGGAAUAUCAAUCAACGUUCUUCACGAAAAGUGGAAGAUAUUUUUCAUUUAGGAAUUCCGGCUUUCUCGGUAGAAUUGAGUUAUUGAAUUAUUUGUCUUCAAGGUGUAAAAUUGAUUGUUUGUUUAUGCUUUGUAAUAUAAAUCGUAAUUUUGAGAAUUGAAAAGUUUU